UUAACAUAAGAAAAGACAUCUUUAUUGCUCUCCCCGGGAAAUUCCAAGGGUUUUAGAAGCUCUGUGCCAGAAACAGGGACAAAGACACACAGUGACAAACAGAAAGAUUCUACUAUUCUUGUGUACAACUGAAGAAGAAAAAAAACAGUUAAAAAAUGUUAGUGAAAACAUGAAGAAAUUAGAACACUUGUGCACUACUGAUGGGAACGUAAAAUGAUGCAGCUUCUGUAAGAGAAUCUGGGUCUAUAUCCAAAGGAGCUGAAAUCAGAAUCUCAAAGAGAUAACUGCACUCUCCUAUUCACUGCAUCUUCAUUCACAACAGUCAAGGCAUGGAAACAUCCCAAGUGUCCAUCAACAGAUGAAUGGAUAAGGAAAAUGUAAGAUAUAUGUACAAUGGAAUAUCAUUCACCCUUAAGAGAGAAGGAAAGCCUGCUAUACACAACAACAUGGAUGAAUCUGCUGAAGGGAAUCUGUAAGGACAUUAUGCGAAGUGAAAUACGUGGCACUCCUUUUCCUCAUAAUCAGCUGAAUAUGUCAGAGGCUGAGAAAAAUGUCACUAAAUCUUGUUUCUAAGCCACUUCCACAUAAUAUUGCAGAGACUGGACUUAUGCCACCACAAGCCAAGGAAUGCCAACGUAUGUCAGCAGUCACUUGAAGCUACAAGUGUGAAACAGGUUCUCUGAAGAGUCUACGAAAGGAAACAACACUGUUUCCCGACAGUUUAUUAGUUUCUGACUUUCAGCACUAUGACAGAAUACACUUCUAUUGUUUUAAGCAACCCAGUUUGUGAUAAAAUGUUAUAGCACUCCUAGAAAACUAAAGCAUAAACUCUGUAUCAAUUUAAAUUACUAUGUUUGGAAACAAAGACAAUUGUUUCCAUAAAAAUGACAACAAAGGACUGUUAGAUAACAUAUAUGAAAGUAAAUGUAUGAA